AGGGUUUCCCGUAUGGUCGCUCUCCUAAAAGGAGAGAGGAAAGUCCGAACUCCACAGGGCAGAGGGCUACCGAAAGGUAGAUAGGAGUAAUCCUAUGGUUUAGGCAACAGAAAGUAGACUACCUGAUUUGGUAUCCUUUGUUAGUAGGUGGGUUAGCCACCGAAUUGGAUACCAAAUCAGGUACAGGUGAAACGGUAGGGUAAAAGCCUACCACCUGUCGGUGCGAACCGAUAGGUCGGCCUACCCCCUCGGAGCAAUCCCAAAUAGGAGGGCAUUUUAGGGUGGCCCGCCCUAAUGGGAGUAAUCCCUAUGCCCUCGGGUAGGGAGCUGAGAUAAAUGACCAUACAAGACAGAAUUCGGCUUACAGGGAAGUCCUACCA
rnacentral:RNase_P_RNA from 1 species